UUAAGUGUUUAUUGAAAUGCAACAUUUACUUCACAAGAUGUUUUCAAACAUAAAACAAAAUCAGUGGACUUUAUAGUCAAAAAUAUAACAUUUAAACAAUCUUAUCAGACACUUCACCAAAUAAGUCAAGACCACAAACAAGGAAAUGUUUAAAAAUGAGUGCAAAAAAACCCCGUACCAAUGCACUGACCCAACACUUGGCAGACAUCAUCUCAUCUUCAAAUGCAAUUAAAACAUCCAUUGUGGUUAAAGUACAAUGUU